GGGAAUAGUAGUACUUACUAGAUAAAUCUGGUAAAACAGGGGAAUAGUAGUACUUACUAGAUAAAUCUGGUAAAACAGGGGAAUAGUAGUACUUACUAGAUAAAUCUGGUGAAACAGGGGAAUAGUAGUACUUACUAGAUAAAUCUGGUAAAACAGGGGAAUAGUAGUACUUACUAGAUAAAUCUGGUGAAACAGGGGAAUAGUAGUACUUACUAGAUAAAUCUGGUGAAACAGGGGAAUAGUAGUACUUACUAGAUAAAUCUGGUGAAACAGGGGAAUAGUAGUACUUACUAGAUAAAUCUGGUGAAACAGGGGAAUAGUAGUACUUACUAGAUAAAUCUGGUAAAACAGGGGAAUAGUAGUACUUACUAGAUAAAUCUGGUAAAACAGGGGAAUAGUAGUACUUACUAGAUAAAUCUGGUGAAACAGGGGAAUAGUAGUACUUACUAGAUAAAUCUGGUAAAACAGGGGAAUAGUAGUACUUACUAGAUAAAUCUGGUAAAACAGGGGAAUAGUAGUACUUACUAGAUAAAUCUGGUAAAACAGGGGAAUAGUAGUACUUACUAGAUAAAUCAGGGGAAUAGUAGUACUUACUAGAUAAAUCAGGGGAAUAGUAGUACUUACUAGAUAAAUCUGGUAAAACAGGGGAAUAGUAGUACUUACUAGAUAAAUCUGGUAAAACAGGGGAAUAGUAGUACUUACUAGAUAAAUCUGGUGAAACAGGGGAAUAGUAGUACUUACUAGAUAAAUCUGGUAAAACAGGGGAAUAGUAGUACUUACUAGAUAAAUCUGGUAAAACAGGGGAAUAGUAGUACUUACUAGAUAAAUCUGGUGAAACAGGGGAAUAGUAGUACUUACUAGAUAAAUCUGGUAAAACAGGGGAAUAGUAGUACUUACUAGAUAAAUCUGGUAAAACAGGGGAAUAGUAGUACUUACUAGAUAAAUCUGGUAAAACAGGGGAAUAGUAGUACUUACUAGAUAAAUCAGGGGAAUAGUAGUACUUACUAGAUAAAUCAGGGGAAUAGUAGUACUUACUAGAUAAAUCUGGUAAAACAGGGGAAUAGUAGUACUUACUAGAUAAAUCUGGUAAAACAGGGGAAUAGUAGUACUUACUAGAUAAAUCUGGUGAAACAGGGGAAUAGUAGUACUUACUAGAUAAAUCUGGUAAAACAGGGGAAUAGUAGUACUUACUAGAUAAAUCUGGUAAAACAGGGGAAUAGUAGUACUUACUAGAUAAAUCAGGGGAAUAGUAGUACUUACUAGGUAAAUCAGGGGAAUAGUAGUACUUACUAGGUAAAUCAGGGGAAUAGUAGUACUUACUAGAUAAAUCUGGUAAAACAGGGGAAUAGUAGUACUUACUAGAUAAAUCAGGGGAAUAGUAGUACUUACUAGGUAAAUCAGGGGAAUAGUAGUACUUACUAGGUAAAUCAGGGGAAUAGUAGUACUUACUAGAUAAAUCAGGGGAAUAGUAGUACUUACUAGGUAAAUCAGGGGAAUAGUAGUACUUACUAGAUAAAUCUGGGGAAUAGUAGUACUUACUAGAUAAAUCAGGGGAAUAGUAGUACUUACUAGGUAAAUCAGGGGAAUAGUAGUACUUACUAGGUAAAUCAGGGGAAUAGUAGUACUUACUAGAUAAAUCUGGUAAAACAGGGGAAUAGUAGUACUUACUAGAUAAAUCAGGGGAAUAGUAGUACUUACUAGGUAAAUCAGGGGAAUAGUAGUACUUACUAGGUAAAUCAGGGGAAUAGUAGUACUUACUAGAUAAAUCAGGGGAAUAGUAGUACUUACUAGGUAAAUCAGGGGAAUAGUAGUACUUACUAGAUAAAUCUGGGGAAUAGUAGUACUUACUAGAUAAAUCAGGGGAAUAGUAGUACUUACUAGGUAAAUCAGGGGAAUAGUAGUACUUACUAGAUAAAUCAGGGGAAUAGUAGUACUUACUAGGUAAAUCAGGGGAAUAGUAGUACUUACUAGAUAAAUCAGGGGAAUAGUAGUACUUACUAGAUAAAUCAGGGGAAUAGUAGUACUUACUAGAUAAAUCAGGGGAAUAGUAGUACUUACUAGAUAAAUCAGGGGAAUAGUAGUACUUACUAGAUAAAUCUGGUAAAACAGGGGAAUAGUAGUACUUACUAGAUAAAUCUGGUAAAACAGGGGAAUAGUA